ensembl:antisense D030055H07Rik RIKEN cDNA D030055H07 gene
GGCUCCUCGGGACAGUUCCCACACUGCAGUGCCUCUGGUGAGGAGACAGCGCCACUGAGCUUCCGAUUUGCAUGGAGCUUCCUCAAAGAGAUUCAUCUGGUGCUGAUAACCCCAGCCCACCAGAGCCAUAGGAUAAAUGGGUUUACCUAAGCUGACCCUGAAAGGCUCUCCAGACCCACAGUCAUGCCAAGUGCAGAGAAUGAGAAGGCUUUAAUGUGAAGGAGGCCUGAGCACCAUUGUGGCAAAAUCCUCAAGCCAUGGAAAGUAUCAGCACAUGAUGACAAAUGCUGGGAACUCAACCCAGGGCUUCACACAUGCUAGAAUAGUAUCAUUGACCACAUUCCCAGACCUCUUGUUGUUGUUGUUGUUGUUGUUGUUGUUGUUGUUGUUGUUGUUGCUGCUGCUGCUGCUGCUGCUGCUGCUGCUGCUGCUGCUACUGCUGUUCUUGGCUUCCUCCCAGGACUUUCCAGGCCAGGCCCCUGCCAACUCAUAUGUUGGCUUAAGCUCUCAUCUCCCUGUCACGUGUUGGGAACCCAGGGCCUACUGAAGAAGUGAUUAGUGCACCUGAGCAGGAUAGGCAGCCUGAGCCAGCCCUCCACCCUUCAGCUGCGACAGGGCCUUGCGGAUGGUGUUCAGCUCCUGGAUCGUGGCUCCUCGGGCUGCCAGCAGCUUGAUGUUCAACAGGGUGAACUUCCAGCUGAGGAGAGGUGACCAACCUGACACCACUCACUAGGUACCCUCCAGGUUCCUCACUGUCUGCCAUGGUCCUGACUUCACCCUGUGACCAUAUGGUACUCGGGGCACCCCUGUCGGCUGGUCCCACACCUGAGAUGAGCACCAGCAGCAGGUCAUCUGCAGUGAGCCCCUCUGCCAGCUGCUGGAUGGUCAGCGCGGCCCGGAGUGCAUCCCGAUCCGCACAGCCUCGUGUCCAUAGCUGCCUAGAGAGGGAGGAGAAGGAGUGAGGCCACGGACAGAACCCCACCAUCCAUCAUGGCCACCCCUCCGAGGGCUCAGGACUGGCGGACUCCAUAGCCUGAAAUGAAACCUGGAGAAGUCAUGAAGCCUGCAGCAAACCUGAUCUUACACCAGCCCUGAAAGCCCAGCCCUGAUGCCCAGCCACGUCCUCUUCUGUAGACCACACACCAGUCUUCUGGACACUCUGCUCCAAGUCCAAAGUUCCUGUUAAGUGGACCUUCCUCCUAGGUCACCUCCUUUGCCUGGGAGUUAAUCAUUCAUGAAGGAUGCCGUUCCUACCAGCGGGCCCCUGGGCCAUUCUUCUUCCACAUCCUGUACUUCCAAAGCCCUCACACCACGGCAGUGCCCCCUUUCUGGCAUUUAUGCCUUAGACGUUCCUUUAACACUUCUACAGCCCAAAAAAACAAAAAAGAAAGAAAAAAAGGCUAUUGGUUGUCUAGCCAACUGACCCCGAGUCCAUUGACCUCUAGCCUGCUCUGUUAGCUCAUACAACCAGUCUGGCAAAGCUGGGUCCAUGUGGAAAGGCUGCAGAUUUACCAGUGCACACAGCCUAAGGAAGCUCAGGACUCAGGCUAGUUCAGCAAGUGGUCCAGGCACGAAUCAAGAGUAACCACAAAUCUCACUCAAGAUGAGACCUUCAGCAAGUCCCCAGGUUAUAAGCAAAAGGACAUGUGCUAUGAGGCUCAAUCUACAGGACAAGACCAGACACUCUUGUCCCCAUACAGCUGGUCAUGAUCAGCCUUGCCAGGAACACCCCUUUCUGGCUCCAUGAUAGCAAAAAACAAGUCCUGAGUUACACCCCUCACAACAAAAACAGCCCAGUGCUAGAGCAGGCAAAGGCCGGGUUCCAGUAAUGAAGCCCAAACAAUCAUUUUCUCCACUGGGCAGAGUGAAGGACAAAAAGGUCUUGGGGUAAAGGUCGGGAAGCUACAGCGUAACUAUACAGGAACAAUAAAAGACUCAGCUGCAAAAAGAUAUCUAAGUUUAGGGACAGGAGGGUACUGAAGACUGUGCCCGGGCUGUCCAUGUAACGAGCGAGCAUGCGCUCUACCACUGAGCUACAUUCAAGCACCUAAAAAGGUAGAAAGAAAACUGUAUCCGUAAGCAUGGGUGGAAGAGGGCGGAGUCUAGGGAUGGGGUUCUAGCUUUUUUUAAAGCGUGUAUUAGUAUAUCUUUUCUCACACUGAGCUCAUUUGCAAGAUGUGGGACACAAUGAAGCCUAACUCUCACUUUUCAAGGGAACUUGAAAGUGUAGUCCUGUGGGAGAGACCUUCCCUAGCAUGCAUAAAGUCAUCCAGUUCUCCAUAGUGCUGGGAGACUGACGCUCGUAUUUUCCUGACACCUAGGGCUUUCUGAUUCUCUGUACAAGCUGACAGAGAAAACUCCAGGUAACAGUUUAUCCCACUCCUAAACAACGUAGCGCCUGCCAAACCUCCGCCAUUUAGCCUUGUAGUUCCCAGCUAGCUUUCCCAGAAACUACUGUUUGUAAAAAGGAAUACACAGGGCACUGCCGCGGGACGCCUGCAAACAUGUUCAGUUUUCAUGUAUGGGAUUCCCCGGGCUUGGUACUAAACACAUCUUAGCAUCCAAAACAUAAAGCUCAGCCCUAGGUGAAUUUUGUAUCUCUUUCCCAGAAGGGCAAAAGCCUAGAAGGUCCCUAUUAGAAUUCAAGGGAAAAAAAAAGUUCAAGUCCAAAAUUGCCAAAUUAAGUACUGGGUGUUUGGUGAAAUUUGAAUAAGUGAUUUUUUAUUAUAACUAUGACCAG